GUCCCCUGGUGACCUUGGCCAAUGCAGAGUGUCUCCCGCCCCCUCAGGUGGGGCACUUGAGGCCCUCCCUCCCCAGAACCAAACAGCCCAAGACUAAAGUUGGAGUUGUUUGUGUCUAUAGCAAAGACGGUCAGCCAUAGCUCAGUGUCAAGGGCUGCUGUCAUCCCAGGAGGGGACCGACAUGGAAACACCAGCAGGCCCUGGGCACACAGGCUUUUCUCUAUGGGACUCUCUGGGGUCAAGGAAGGAGUGUCGCCCCGGCAAGACUGAGGUCCCUGCAGCCUCAUGGAGGGGCUGGACGUGGGCAAGACUCCUCUGGCCUAUGUUUGGCAUCGAAUCCUCACUGGCCAGGCGCAGUGAUGCCCACAGCACAGAUAUCGUCACGCCCAUUUUAUAGAUGAUAAAGGCUUAAAGCGGUGAGCGACGUGUCCUAGGUCACUUGACGGCGAGUGGCAGGGGUGCCUCUGAAUCUCCACCCUGGGCUGUGGUCUCUUGCGCCCGCCUUGAGUUCCUUGCUCUCUUCAUCUGUACGGCAGACGUUACACGGUGCUUACCCCAUGCCAGGCACAGCCUACCAGCUGGGGACCUAGAGGUAUCAGGCAGCGUCUGGAGGGGAGUCACAACAGGCACCAUUCAUUCAGCUAUCCCUUCUGCAGUGUUCCCUGAGCACCUACUGUGAACCUGCAGUCUACCAGGUGCUGGGAUCCAGAAGCCAACAACAUAGACUGCUGCCCUCACGGAGGCUUUCUUCUCCUGGGGAAGGCAGAUAGUAAUCCAAUCAGGGAGCAGUGUUCUGCAGAAACACCACUGAGGGUCCUGCUAACUUGCCCACGUUGGCCUCAAACUGAGAUUACAGCCGUGCCCCUGGCAUCCAGCAGGAGGUAUUUUGAAGGGAUCAAAGCCCGGGUGUCCAGCAUGCCGGGCAAAGGUUCUACCAGAGCUGCACUCCCAGCCCAGAAAAAAACUAACCACGAUUUUCUCCGGAUCUUGGGAAAGAGAGGAAAUGUGAGUUCCCAGAAGCGGAGGCGCUGCCGAGGCCAGGCAGGAACGAGAACCGACCAGCCCAUCUCUUCCAGGGAAAGCUGCGGCCACGUGGACUGAGGCAGUCCCCGCCGGCCCGCGCCCUGGUUACCCCCCCCCAGGACUGCAGGCGCCCGGCGGGGCGGGGCGGGAACAGUUGCUGCAGGACAGAGCGAGCUCCACGUGGCCCUCCUUCUCCCCUUCCUGCCGCCUAGGCCGAGCAUUGGCUGUCUCCAGACCCCUGCAGCCUUGGAGUGGCCCCCCAUCUCCUCGGCCUCCAUUCUGUCCUUGUGGGAGGCCCUACUCGUGAAUGGAGUGUCUCCCCUGACUUGAUUAUAAAAAUCGUGAUUCCCAAAGUGGUCCCCUGGAGAAGCAGCAGGAGCAACACCUUCCCAGGUCCCGCCCCAGGCCGAGGGGGUCUGGGUCUCUGGAGGUGGGGCCGGCGACUGUCUGCCUGUGAUAUUGGGGGUCAAACUCAGGGCUUCACACCUACUAGGCAAGUGCUCCACCCUCAGCGGCAUCCCCAGCCCCUUUAUUUUGGUACAGUAGUUCUCUUAGUGGCCCAGGCUGGUCUCGAACUUGUGAUCCUUCUUGCCUCAGUUUCCCGAUGUCACUGGGAUGACAACCCGCUUGGAACCCAUGCCCUUAACCUCUGCUCUGCAGCUGCAUCCGCCGGCUGCCCUGCUGGGUCCGGCUCAGGGCUAGCGCAGACUGCACAGGCAGGCCUUGAACUGGAGUUGGGGCACGGCCGCGCCGGAGCCCUGUCUGCAAGGUUGGGAAAAAACAGACUGACUCCCCAGGAGACCCAGGCAGCCCAGGUUCCCUGUGGGAUGAGGGAGGUGGGCUGCGUGAGCCUGCAGAGGCCUCUGCAGUCCUGGUAGCCGGCGGUGGUGUGGGUGGACGAGCACCGCAGAGGCGGGGCGCAGCGCCACCUGCUGGCCAGAAAUCGUCAUUGGUGACGCCCGGGGACAAAUGCACGGACCUACCGAGGCACAUCUCAGGAUCACCAUGGCAGGCGGCAGCACGUGUCUCCUCCCGCUGCACGCGGGCGUACUUGUCCACACGUGGAUGUCUGAGCCUGUGGACACGUGGGGCCCUCAGCCACAAGACUUGGUAGCACCAAAUUCUCUCAUUUAUUCAUUUGUUCCCUUAUCAAAUGUUCUUUGAGAUAUGCCAAGCCUACACAGCUGUCACCAGGGAGCCUCCAGGCAGGGUGAGGGUCGUGAGACUCGGUAAUCACAAGGUGAAAUGGAUUAGGGUCCCGAGAGGGAUGUACCCCAUGAGGUCACGGAGGCACCCCAACCCAUCCAGACCGGGGUUGGAGCAGGGAAUCCUUCCCCAGGGAAUCCUGGUCUCAGACUGAUCAGGAGAUGGCUGGGGCAAGGGGCAAGGGCCAGCCAGAGCCAAGCCUGCAGGGAGAGCUGGGAGGGAGACCCCAGCUCCUGCAAAGGGUCCUGCACAAGCUGCAGAGUCUGGACUCUGUCCCCACAGGUGGUGGCCAGAUUCUGGUGUGACACUAUCCCGACGCAUUUGUACCAAAGCUUAGGACUCAGGAUCCAAGGGUCUGUCAGUCCCUUGGGGUGCUGGGCCUUGGAUGUGAUGUGUCCCUGUGACCUGUUCCUCCUGGCUACAGCAGCUGUCCUUGGAUAUGUCCUUGGUGAGGCGCCCCAAACCCUAGAGACAGGCCUGUUUCCAGUCUAGCAGUGACCAGAGUGGACAGCCGUCCCUGCAGCCCUCCCUGCCAAGUCAGGCAUCCCCAUGUGCCCAGCUGAUGCCCUGUUUUCAGUUCACGAGGGUGUCCGAGACAGCUCCAGGGUACAGCUCCCACCCGGUCCCUCCAAGGAGAGUCAGUGCCUCUCCGAGGGGUGGGAGCUGGGCGCUUUGAUGGGUGGGAGAUAGAGCUGGGGAGUCCCUGACGCUGAACACAGGACCAUCCUGGCUGGUGGGUACUAGGAAGGGACCUUGGGCAGCACAGGGCCAGGGGGGCAGCACGAAGCCCCUCUGAAGAGGAGUUGACUGCUUCCCUGUUCUGCCUGCGGCUGAGGUGAAGGCUUUGGCAAUGGCUGAUCCUCCCCCUGCCUGGCCUCUAGCCUGGUCCUCCACUUGCGGUUUUCCUCAGUGGCUCAGUGGUGGCGGCUUCCGAGAAGACCCACCAAGACUUUCCUGUCAGGGCAACUCCAAGUUCCUCUUAGCGAGGAAGGGGAAGUGGUGGAGUUUCUCCGGAGGGCUUUCCGUUUCGUUCUAAGAAGCCAAGGUGUCCCAACCCAGGGCUGGGGCAGAGCCCAGGCUUCAAGGAGAAGUUCAGCUGCAGGGGCUUUCCCACCCAGGGUCAGCCGCAGCUCAUUCGCCAGGGCCCACGGUGGACAUUCCAGGCAAGGAAACAAAAGACCCGCGGCUCUGGAGGCCCCAUCCGGCCUCCCUUUCUCUGCCCCCUUACGCCACCAACACACGCGCACACGUGCAGGAAGUGUGGCCUGCCCUCCGUCAGGGGCAUCCCGCGUGGAAAGCGCUCUUCCUGCCAGCAUGGUGGCGCACACCUGGAAUCCCAGGGACUCGGGAAGCUAAGGCAGAAGAGUUCAAGUUUAAGGUCAGCCUGGGCACCUUAGUGAGACCCUGUCUCAAAAUAAAAAAAUAAAAUAAAAAAGACUGGGGAUGUAGCUCAAGGGUAGAGCACCCCUGGGUUCCAUCUCCAGCACAGGAAAAAAAGAAAAAAAAACCCACUUGCUUGGGGGUAAUGACCUUCCAUGCUCAGAACAAUAGCCACCAUUGAUUGUGGGCGCUCACUGUGUGCCAUGUUCCGUGCCAAGCACUUUGCAUGAAUUUCCUCCUCUGAUCCUCACGAUGAUCCCAAGGGGGAAGAUACAAUCAGUAUCCUUCAAGUCAAGCCACCUGUCUGGCUUGUCCUUCCUAGGAGACCUCUUCGCAGAAAAGUGGGAGAAUAUUGGACCUUCACAGGAGGUGCCUGGGAAGGUCUGGUCCUCGCUUUCCCACGGUGCGCGAAGCCAGCUGUGGAGAAGAGCCGGGCUCCGGUCAUGGCUGUCCUCGUCCCACUCAGGCAGCCCCAGCCCUCCCCAGGGCAUUUUGAAUUCUCGUCACCUUUUCUAUUUUCUGUUUUUCUCCCACAACAUUAUUUUAGGGCUUCUGCUAUGCUAACACAUGUUUUGGGGACAGUGGGGGAUUCCCCAAAACCAUGAUGCUGUUCAGUUCAAAAACAUUUGCCUGAAGGUCCACAGCUGGGUGACUCACGCUGCUGAGGGGGUAAGAAAACUCACAGCUGCAGCGGGGAGAGGCUGGCCCAACCAAAGGGGGGACCCUUACAGGGUGGCCGGUUUGAGUAAAUAAAAAUACAGGAAGUCCAGCUAAUUUUGAAUUUCAGACGAACAACUCCACUUGGAACAUCUGGAAGCUUCAAGUUUAUCUGUUAGCCAGGUGUGGUGGCACACGCCUGAACUCCCAGCUACUGGGGAGGCUUCAACAGGAGGAUCUCAAGUUAAAGGCUGGUCUUGUGACUUACUGAAAACUUGUCUCAAAAAUUAAAAAAAAAAAAGUUAUUUGUUGUCUAUCGGAAAUUCAAAUUUAACUGGUAACCUGUAUUUUUUCUGGCAGCCCGAGAUUCUCUCUGCACCUGGAGCAGAGCCAUGGCCUUUCCUCUGGCCUCAGCAAAGUGCUGCUGAGAGAGAGACAGCAGGCUGACUGGGAUGACCAUGAACCUGGGAGUCUCAGGGAUCAGGGAAGGGUGGAGAGACACCCCGCCCUGGGGUUCUACCUGAGCAAUCAAAGGAGCUCAGCCCAGGGCAGAGUUCAUGUUCAAAUUCCAAGAGAAAUGCAAGGGUGCUCUUGAAGGUCACCCUGCCUUCUCUAGGCCUCGGUUUUCUCAGCUUGGCAAUGGGGAGAAGGUUUGGAUUUGGCAAUGGCUAGUGAGCCUCCUAGCCCUUGGUUUUUCUGGUCCUGUGGACAAGAAGCAAGAGGUAAGAGUCAACCAAGGAUGGAGUUUACAGAGGAAAGAGCUGUCCCUGCCACCUGCAUCGGCCGAAGGAGGUGGGGCCUUGCCCUGGACCCUGGGUACUUUGGAGGCUCCCCUUGGGCCAGGAGUAUAGUUUGUGCUGGGACCUCCUUGGAAGGGAUCCUGGGAACGUCUCUGUGGGUCACAGGGCCCCAAGCCAUACACAGCCAUAAAUACCUCCCAAACUAGAAAAGUAUAUAGUCAGAAUGAAAUUAUUAAAUGCCCACCAAAUGUUAACCAGGCAAUUGCAACCCAGCUCUUACAGUCGUGUAAACUGAACGUGAUACGCUGUGUACCAGUGUCCACUCUAUGCUCUGAACAUGGCUUGCUCCUGUACCACCCCAACUGAUUUUUAAAAUGGGCGUGGGUUUCUUUCUCCUCCUCUCUCCCUGCUCCUCCCUAAUCUCUCCCCCUCCCUCAUCUCAGGGGAACAGGAUUACCUUUCUUCCCCAUCCUAGGCAGAGUUAUCUGUCCUUGAGCACACACCCACCACAGGGACAAGUAACUCAAACUUUGGGGACAGCACCAGAUCUCAGAAAUGACUAUCUCCCAAAUUAACUAGUGAAUUCCAACUCUGGACAGAGAACACACGGAAUGUAGCCUCUGAAUCACCUCUUUAAAAGCCCCCUGUUCCUGCUGAUGGGCAGAAUCACAGCCUCUGGGACAGGAGUCCCCUGUGUUUCUCCUUUACUA